CUCGCGCGCAACGACGCCAUUAUUGAUCAUCGAUCACCGCGAAUCACACGUGCAAAUCUGUUUCCGCUCAACUCAAAUUGUUCAAGUGCAGUUCAUCUGUGAAAAUCACCAACCACGCUCAGUGAAGAGAUCACGAUCCACAGCACCUGUGCAAGCUACUGGAUCAAUAGUAUUCUCUCCAUAAAUGUGAAGAAGAUCUCUACCGUAAAAGUUAAAGUUUUAUCCCCACUACCAGGGGGAUCCUCCUUGGAACCAGUCAAGCGUUAAACACCCUGGACAUCGAGUCAGCGAGGUGUCAAGUAUCGAUGAGACUGUUGCGCGUGGAUUUCAGGUGUCUAGGGAUUUUUGGAUGCUUACAACGUGGUCGGGUUGAAGCUUUGAAUCGUUCUGAGCUUGGCG